UUUGUUUUUAGAUUUAUAUAGAUAAUUCAUCAGAUUUUAUUAACCUCGCAUGUUAUUAAAUGGACGCAGAACCCUAAUUAUCAUAAUUAAACCUUUAAUCCGUAAUUAAAAGUCGGGGCAUGAUAGUUUGACAACCAGUAAGCCAUAUAUAUAGUAAUUGCUAUUUUGAUCCUGGAAAGAAAAAAAAAACAUAAAAUUGGCUUAAUAGAAAAAAAAAUGACAAACACAAUAACAAUAAAGUGAGAAAUUGGAAGAAUCAAAAUAGAAAAAGAAAAAAAAAGAAAAGCGAGAACCUCGAAAAAAAAUGACAGAAUAAAAUGAGUAUGUGCAUUAAAAUUAUAUCUAGAGGGGUUUUGCCAAAUUGGAAUCCUUCUUCGCAUAGCACACCACACCCUCUGCAUUUUCCCCACACAUAAAAAACAUAAAAUUGGCGCCGCAAAUACAUAUAUAGGAAAUAAGAGUAAAUACCAUUUUAAAAAAGACAAAAAAAAAAACUUUUACCUUGCAAUAGGUAUUUGGAGAGCUAGAUAAUCUCAUUUUCCC
rnacentral:lncRNA from 1 species